rnacentral:lncRNA from 1 species
CAGACUUCAGUGAGCAAAAACUAUGGAAAUCCUCUCAAUGGCAGUGUGUGCAAGUGGCCCUGUAGUCACAGGUAUUCCAGAAGCAGCUAAAAGAUCAACUCUGACAUCGGGCUCUGGGAUCCGCAUUUUAACUGGCACUGCAGCCCCCCUGGUACACAGUCAUAUAGUCUUCGCUGUGGGUCCCUCUAGUUGUGGCAUGUGGGACGCUGCCCCAGCGCAGCUCGACGAGCAGUGCCAUGACCGCGCCCAGGACUCGAACCAACGAAACACUGGGCCGCCUGCAGCGGAGGGCGCGAACCCAACCACUUGGCCACAGGGCCAGCCCAGUGGCUGCACCAAUUUACAUCCCCAGCAAAAGUGCACGAGUGUUCCUUUUUCUCCACAUCCUCACCAACACGUCUUUUUGAUAACGGCCAUCCUAACAGCUAACAAGGUCAACCUUGCAGGGAAAUGAACAAGCAACCCAGGUGAUCUCAGGAGCUGAGGGAAAGUGCUCUUUUCCUGUCUCUGCAAACUCCCCCCACCCUUGCCUACUGAUGUCUAGGGUUCCACUAACAGAAACCAAGAAGUGCCACAAGCUCUACCUGCUUCGUACUCAAUAACAGAACCAUGGCUGUGGACUGAGAUACUGGCUCCAGGAAGCUUCUGCUGAAAGGCUUUUCCUCCACGACAGAGGUAACAGGUUAAUUUACUGUGCCGUAUUAACUAACUGCCACCUACAAGAAAACUGAGCUGUGAGGGAAGGAAACACAAGACAGUUAAUCUUUGAAGCCAUGAGUGUGAGGGUAGGAUGGAAGAUGCUAGACAUAGUUCAUUGCAGGCAGGACAAGCCCUGGGCAGUGUCAUUGUUGGAGGUCCUGGUAAUUGAGGAACAGCACCGAGCACUGUGUCACUUGUGGGGAAUAGAAGACAGAGGAAGGGAGCAUGGAAAAUAAGGGACAUGCUGAAACCAUAUGUUGCCUGCGACGCAGUGUGGCUGCGGCCUGGUCCCAUAUGCUUGGCUGCAGUGCAUUUAUCUCUGAGCGUGUCCGUUCUCCUCAUAAAUGCACCUUUGUUUUCUGCCCAGCACAAAAACAUCACGACCCGUGUCUGAGAAUGUUGGGAAUUUUAUUAAGUCCAUAAAGUUUUAGCUGUGGUCUCGUCCACCAAGGCCAAAAUAAAUAAAUAGAGAGAGUGUAAGGGUAACAAUUUAAAAAAAAAAAAAAUCUGGCUCAAAGAAAGAAAAACUACUGAAGCUCUAAAAUAACUUUGUCACAGUGGCUUUACAGGGAUUUCUUCUUACCAACUGAGAAUUCUGUAAAGUGCAAGCUGGGAAACUGCAGUCAAAAUGCAGCCAACAAAUUCACUUUUCAGAUUUCUCUGAGAAUAUUCUUUUCUG